rnacentral:SRP_RNA from 1 species
GCCGGGCACGGUGGCAGGCGCCUGUAGUCCCAGCUACUCAGGAGGCUGAGGCAGGAGAAUGGCGUGAACCCGGGAGGCAGAGCUUGCAGUGAGCCGAGAUGGCGCCACUGCACUCCAGCCUGGGUGAAAGAGCAAGACUCCAUCUCAAAAAAAAAAAAAAAAAGAGAGACAGAGUCUCGCUCUGUUGCCCAGGCUGGAGUGCAGUGGCGCCGUCUCGGCUCACUGCAAGCUCUGCCUCCCGGGUUCACGCCAUUCUUCUGCCUCAG